GGCUUCCCCUAGUAACUGCGAGUGAAGCGGGAAGAGCUCAAAUUUAAAAUCUGGCGGUCUCUGGCCGUCCGAGUUGUAAUCUAGAGAAGUGCUGCCCGCGCUGGACCGUGUACAAGUCUCCUGGAAUGGAGCGUCAUAGAGGGUGAGAAUCCCGUCUCUGACACGGACUACCAGGGCUUUGUGGUACGCUCUCAAAGAGUCGAGUUGUUUGGGAAUGCAGCUCAAAAUGGGUGGUAAAUUCCAUCUAAAGCUAAAUAUUGGCGAGAGACCGAUAGCGAACAAGUACCGUGAGGGAAAGAUGAAAAGAACUUUGGAAAGAGAGUUAAACAGUACGUGAAAUUGCUGAAAGGGAAACGCUUGAAGUCAGUCGCGUUGGCCGGGGAUCAGCCUCGCUUUUGCGUGGUGUACUUCCUGGUUGACGGGUCAGCAUCAAUUUUGACCGCUGGAAAAAGGCUUGGGGAAUGUGGCAGCUUCGGCUGUGUUAUAGCCCUUUGUCACAUACAGCGGUUGGGAUUGAGGAACUCAGCACGCCGCAAGGCCGGGUUUCGACCACGUUCGUGCUUAGGAUGCUGGCAUAAUGGCUUUAAGCGACCCGUCUUGAAACACGGACCAAGGAGUCUAACAUGCCUGCGAGUGUUUGGGUGGAAAACCCGAGCGCGUAAUGAAAGUGAAAGUUGAGAUCCCUGUCGUGGGGAGCAUCGACGCCCGGACCAGAACUUUUGGGACGGAUCCGCGGUAGAGCAUGUAUGUUGGGACCCGAAAGAUGGUGAACUAUGCCUGAAUAGGGUGAAGCCAGAGGAAACUCUGGUGGAGGCUCGUAGCGAUUCUGACGUGCAAAUCGAUCGUCAAAUUUG
rnacentral:rRNA from 1 species